rnacentral:rRNA from 1 species
AUUGAACGCUGGCGGCAUGCUUUACACAUGCAAGUCGAACGGCAGCGGGGGCUUCGGCCUGCCGGCGAGUGGCGAACGGGUGAGUAAUGCAUCGGAACGUGCCCAAGUCGUGGGGGAUAACGUAUCGAAAGGUACGCUAAUACCGCAUACGUCCUGAGGGAGAAAGCGGGGGAUCUUCGGACCUCGCGCGAUUGGAGCGGCCGAUGUCGGAUUAGCUAGUAGGUGAGGUAAAGGCUCACCUAGGCGACGAUCCGUAGCGGGUCUGAGAGGAUGAUCCGCCACACUGGGACUGAGACACGGCCCAGACUCCUACGGGAGGCAGCAGUGAGGAAUAUUGGACAAUGGGCGAGAGCCUGAUCCAGCCAUGCCGCGUGCAGGAAGAACGGCCCUAUGGGUUGUAAACUGC